GACGUAGGGGGCGAGCGUUGUCCGGAUUUAUUGGGCGUAAAGCGUGCGUAGGCGGCUGCGCAAGUCGGUUGUGAAACCCCGGAGCUCAACCCCGGAACUGCAUCCGAUACUGCGUGGCUAGAGGUAGGUAGGGGAGAUCGGAAUUCCUGGUGUAGCGGUGAAAUGCGCAGAUAUCAGGAGGAACACCGGUGGCGAAGGCGGUUCUCUGGGCCUUACCUGACGCUGAGGAGCGAAAGCAUGGGGAGCAAACAGG
rnacentral:rRNA from 1 species